GCUAAAUCAGAACCUGCAUUUAAACAAGACCUCUAAAGGGUCCAUUAUGUUUCAGUAUCUGAGAAGCACUGCCCUGGGGUGCCAUGUUCCUCCUAGUCCAUUUCUUCAUUUUGGGACUGGACCUCUGGCAGAGCCAAAUGGCUGCGGGUUGGGGGGCACCCAGAAGGUAUAACCUCUCCUCCUUGAUCCACAAUUUUUCUCCAGCUAAAAUGGUAACUCCCAGGGUCUUUUUUUUUUUUUUUUUGAGGAAGAGUAGCCCUGAGCUAACAUCUGUGCCCAUCUUCCUCCACUUUAUGCAUGGGACGCCUGCCACAGCAUGGCUUGAUCAGCGGUGUGUACGUCCGCCCCCAGGAUCCAAACCAGUGAAUCCUGGGCCACCAAAACAGAGCACGUGAACUUAACCACUGUACCACUGGGCCAGUCCCAACUCCCAGGGUCUCAAAGAAACUUCAUGGAAAUAGCACAGAAACAACACAAGAAGGCUUUGUGAAGGUCAUUUUUGUGAGUAGUGAGAAAUCAAAACAGAAGUCCCACAGAUGGGGAAGGUCUGGGGCAGGAGUGGACGCAUGCUUUGGUUCUCUGAAGCCCAGGGGAAGGGAACAAUGUGUAAUUUGUGACCCAGUGAGAGGCAGGGUAUGCUUUCUCUCAGUUUCUGUGGGAAGCACACCUGGUGGCUCAGGAGUUUACCCUGAAGGUGAGGCACUGGCUUUCCUCCCUGUCUCUGUGGGUCUCUGAUGCCUCCAUUCUUUCAUUCUCACUAACUUAGAAAAGCCAACUUGAAAAUGCUCUAAUCUGAGGGAUCAAGUGUCUUGGCCACGAUGCUAGUCCUUGCAGAGGGUGUUCUCCAGGAUUAAUAUCUGCAGAGUUUGCUCUGAGACCACCACGCACAGGACCAGUAUCCCCCUGCAACUGAAAAGGUGGCAGCACCAGAAUCAUCAGCACAGCCUAGGAGGGUUUGUGACCUGGCAGAAGGUGACUUGCAUCAGGCGAGAGGAGCCACUGUGAGGAGCUCGGGUACAUAGUUGUACAUUUUAGCCGUGGGUCCUUCUAGUUGUGGCAUGUGGGACACUGCCUCAACACGGCCUGAUGAACAGUGCCAUGUCCGCGCCCAGGAUCCGAAUCGGCGAAACCCUGGGCCACUGAAGCGGAGCGCAUGAACUUAACUGCUCGGCCACGGGGCGGGCCCCAUCGCAGCCAUUUUUAAGUGUACGGUUCAGUAGUGCCUUUUUUAAAGCAAAAACCUUUGGUUUUGGACAAAUGAUAGAAGUUCGUUUGAGGAAGGGCAGAAUAUAUAACAGAAGCAAAAAGGGAAACGAGCUCCCUGCAGUCUCACCAUAUGUAGUCUUGCGUUUUCCGAGAUGCUCCGGAACUCUAGAAGGACAAAGAAGCAUUUCACAUCCUUCUUCAGGGAAAGCAGCACCCUCCAAGGAAGAGUGGCUCCACCCUGACUAGCCACAGAGUGGCCCAAGGCCAGUCCCAGCCAAGUUCAUAAGGAGGCCUGCCAGUGUGGCAAUGCUGAAUCACCUGCUUGGUUUACUGGCAGUG
rnacentral:lncRNA from 1 species